UUUUGACUUUCAAGUCAAUUAAUUUGCAUGUGCACUCUGAUUAUUACCACUCAUCCCUGUGCACCACUCUGCAGGCAAGAUUAAAAAUUUGAGUACUCUUGUGGUCUUAAAUUUACUUGUUUGCUUUUAAACAAACACAUUGAUAUAAAAUAAAUGAGUGCAUGCUUUAUGCAUUUAUAUUUGAAA
rnacentral:rRNA from 1 species